UAGUGAGUUUGAUCCUGGCUCAGGAUGAACGCUGGCGGUCUGCUUAACACAUGCAAGUCGAACGCAAGUAGAAAUACUUGAGUGGCGGACGGGUGAGUAACGCGUGAGAAUCUGCCUUCUGGUCGGGGACAACCACUGGAAACGGUGGCUAAUACCGGAUGUGCCGCAAGGUAAAGAUUUAUCGCCGAGGGAUGAGCCCGCGUAGGAUUAGCUUGUUGGUGGGGUAAAGGCCUACCAAGGCGACGAUCCUUAGCUGGUCUGAGAGGAUGAUCAGCCACACUGGGACUGAGACACGGCCCAGACUCCUACGGGGAGGCAGCAGUGGGGAAUAUUGGACAAUGGGCGAAAGCCUGAUCCAGCAAUGCCGCGUGAGUGAUGAAGGCCUUAGGGGUUGUAAAGCUCUUUUACCCGGGAUGAUAAUGACAGUACCGGGAGAAAUAAGCCCCGGCUAACUCCGUGCCAGCAGCCGCGGU
rnacentral:rRNA from 1 species